CAGGUAAUGACGCUCUGUCGGCAAGGGUUGUGGAGGGUGGAGCACACAGAGCAGAGCACCUAGCCAGCUGCAAUGGACAUACAGAGUGAGUAAGAAAUGAAUCUAGUUGUUUGGAGUGGCUGCAAUUGGGGAUGGUCGGUUCCGGUAGCACAACCCAGGCUAUCCUGCGUGACAGCAGGGUGCUCGCCACUGGAUAUGAAAUUACCUAAGUCAGAAAGAUCCUAAUUAGGGAAGUCUAAGUACCCUCCUUCCUGUUCCUAACCAACAAGCUCCUUUCACUUCAUAUUCCUGCACUCUUAGUUCUGUCUACCUGCAAGACUCUUCCCCUGGUUCUUCCCAGGACUUCUCAUCCUUUGGACCUCAGGUGAUAGGUUACCUCCUCAGAGAGCUUCUUUUUGGCCUCAUUCCAUGACCACCAUUCACACCCCCCCCUUUCUGUCUUUCACAGAGCACAUCAUAGCCUAUAAUGAUCUUACCUAUUUUCUGUCCCUCAGGUUUCCUGUCCCUCUGAAUUCACAUUUGCAUUCUUGUUAUCAACAGUGAUUCAUAAAUAACUAAUGCCAAGCCACUUUAGCCCCACAUGAACUUAAGGAAGCACAUUCAAAAUAUGGACUGCUUUCAUUUGUUUACUAUAAAAAUAAAAAUAAAACCAUAAGCGUUCAACUUCUACUUUACACUUUCCUAAACUUUGUUAAUAGAAGAAAAAGCUGUAACUAAAAAUGUUGGACAGACAUCCAAAUGUUUGGAUGUGCAGCAAGAACCAACCACUGAACCUUGGUUUUCACCCAGUCACCAUUAAGAGGUCAGCUUGACAUUUUGGGCUCUUUUCAGAUAGUUGUGGCCAAUAGCACUAACAACCUUUGGUCCCAACCCAGUUAAAUAGUAGUUUUUGUAAUUCAUUGGCAUACAUGUUUGUUUUGUUUGCCCUUUUUCUUCCCUUUCACUUGGGAUAUGCACCAAACAAUCUUGCUUCAUACUGACAAGAAGAAUGAGUCCUUAGGUUCCAGAAAGUAUUGAGUAGCUAAACCUGUGUUAUGCAUCCAGAGAUAUAGGUAUAAUAUCUUGUUACAGAGUAAAUAAUUCAUACUUGUUCAACGAAUGAAUAAAUAAAAUCAGUAUAAAAUGACUAAGUAUUUGUUUCAUUUGUCUGUGUUAUAGAUAACUAGUACCGUAAAAGACAACUAUUCCAAUUCUAAAAAAAACAUUUCAGCUUUGUUUCACCUGCAUACAAAACAUGUUUAAAAAUGCUAGAAAUGCAAAACUUAAAGUUAAUUGGUAACUCUUCUAUUUUCAUGGUCUUUAUAAAGUGUGUUAAACAGUCUUAACAUUUGAUAAAAGAUUCAGAAGUUGCUAUGCUAUCCUUCCAGCAUAUGAUAGAAUUCUAUCAUUGCUAAUAAGCCUGGUUUGGAAACAAAAAUAAACUUAGUUUAAUUUUGUUUUUUUUUAUAAACUAUUUUUGGUUUUCUUUGAAUUUCCUAUGUGGCAGUGUAUACUGCAAAAUAGUAUCACUUAAAAUAUGGAGACACCCAUUACCCUAGCUCUUUUAGAAUAUGCGUAAUUGGCAUGUGAUAGCUACAUUUUUCUACUUGUUUUACAAAAAUCCACAUAGGUGACUUAAAAACAACAUGAAUUUUUUUUUUUUUAGGAUGAGGCUGCAUGUUUCUGCUCUCUACAUUGCUUCAUAUCAACUAAUUUUUAAGAAGAGAUUAUCACCUGCCACCCCAUUUUAAGUGAAUAUGGGUAAUCAGAUGGGGCUUAAUGUCUUUAAAAUGGGAAAUGCAUCAAACGUGCUUGCACACACAUUUGAACACAGAUAAAAAGAUAUAUUUUUUAAUUGCUUUGCAAACAAGGCUGGUCAUUUCUCAAUUCCUCAUCACUACACACA
rnacentral:lncRNA from 1 species